rnacentral:lncRNA from 1 species
UGCAGUGGUAGCAGUAGUAGCAGCAAUAAUAAACCGCAACCAUCAAUAGAACUGCAUCUACUGCAGCAGCAGUAACAACAAUAGUCGCAAUAGUGUUGGGAUAAACAGACAACGCUACUAUUAGUGUUAUACUUUUUUCAAAGAAAUCAACUGUCAACGGCAUUGGUGGUAGUAGUAGUAGUAGUAGUAGUAGUAGUAGUAGUAGUAGUAGUAGUAGUAGUAGUAGUAGUAGUAGUAAUAGUAAUAGUAGUAGUAGUAGUAGUAGUAGUAGUAGUAGUAGUAGUAGUAGUAGUAGUGGUGGUGGUGGUGGUGGUGGUGGUAGUAGUAGUAGUAGUAGUAGUAGUAGUAGUAGUAGUAGUAGUAGUCAAAGAGAAGUGAAGGUGAAGUGACUGUAUCGAUGGGUGGGUACUGCCACAGAGCUGACUGACCAUUACCACUUUCUCUGAAAUUUCUUAGAGGAAAUAACAACAACCACAACAACAACACCGACUACAACAACAACAGCUACAUUACAAAUUAGCUAAAAUCUUAUCUUGUAUAUAAUAGACAAAUGCCAAAUUCUUGGCUUGCUGAUAAAUCAGUCACUCUUCAUGGAUUUCAGAUUACCGUCUCCUACUCUCCAUGUUUAUAUGUGAACGGACAGCUGAUAGUGAGCGAGCGAGCUGCGGAACAUCACAAAAACUGUGCUAACAACAUUUAAUCAACAAGGGCCUUUUAGUAAUGGGAGGGGUGUUCUUUACCUCUUCCUGUUGCAUUUUCUGUUCAGCUAAGUAAUUCAAGUUACAAAAAAAAAUUAUAAAACAACAUUUAAGCAAGUAAAAUAAAUAUUAAAAUAUUUUAAAAGAUAUUUUUUUUUUCUGUUAAUUAAAAUUAUAGCCUAAAUAUAUUAAUUCCAUACAAAAACAAAAAUAUAUAAAUAUGCAUGCAUGUUCAUAAAACAAAUAUAUUUAUAUGUAUAUAUAUAAGGAGAUAUAUAGUUAUAAAUAUAAAUAAAAAUUAUAGAUAAUAUAUAUAUGGUAUAUGUAUAUAUUUUCCUGCAUCAUAUCGGAUGUGGAUACAAAAAGAAAAAACAAUAUUAUUUCGAUGAAGACAAUCAAAGAAUCUUUUGGUAAAUGAAAUGGAUAUCUUUGAAAAAGGAAUGAGAAAGAUUAAAUCUGAUAGAUAAGUUGGCUACUAACUAAUUACAAAUUAUACAAUUAAUUGGACUUGCAAUUUCUUCCAAACCAACAAUGAGUCAAACUUGGGUUACAUGCAUGUA